rnacentral:tRNA from 1 species
GGGGCUGUAGCUCAGUUUGGGAGAGCGCUUGCAUGGCAUGCAAGAGGUCAAGGGUUCGAUCCCCUUCAGCUCCACCA